GACGAACGCUGGCGGCGUGCCUAAUACAUGCAAGUCGAACGAGAGCGACCGGUGCUUGCACUGGUCAAUCUAGUGGCGAACGGGUGAGUAACACGUGGGUAACCUGCCCAUCAGAGGGGGAUAACAUUCGGAAACGGAUGCUAAAACCGCAUAGGUCUUCGAACCGCAUGGUUUGAAGAGGAAAAGAGGCGCAAGCUUCUGCUGAUGGAUGGACCCGCGGUGCAUUAGCUAGUUGGUGAGGUAACGGCUCACCAAGGCCGUGAUGCAUAGCCGACCUGAGAGGGUGAUCGGCCACAUUGGGACUGAGACACGGCCCAAACUCCUACGGGAGGCAGCAGUAGGGAAUCUUCCGCAAUGGACGCAAGUCUGACGGGGCAACGCCGCGUGAGUGAAGAAGGUUUUCGGAUCGUAAAACUCUGUUGUUAGAGAAGAACAAGUGCUAGAGUAACUGUUAGCGCCUUGACG
rnacentral:rRNA from 1 species